ensembl:piRNA 21ur-15325 ncRNA
UAGUAAGCUCUCGGAAUUUUC